rnacentral:sRNA from 1 species
UAUCUCUCCAUACGGGGAAGGAUGAGAAGCUUCGACUAAGGUUCGAUUCGAGCGCAGCGAGAAAGCGUUGCCGCAGGCAACGACCCGAAGGGUGAGGAGCAAUACAACGAGUUACCCUUACCCCAUACGCA